rnacentral:rRNA from 1 species
CACGUAGGGCGCGAGCGUUGUCCGGAAUUAUUGGGCGUAAAGAGCUCGUAGGCGGCCUGUUGCGUCCGCUGUGAAAUCCCGGGGCUCAACCCCGGGCUUGCAGUGGAUACGGGCUGGCUAGAGGCAGGCAGGGGAGAACGGAAUUCCCGGUGUAGCGGUGAAAUGCGCAGAUAUCGGGAGGAACACCGGUGGCGAAGGCGGUUCUCUGGGCCUGUACUGACGCUGAGGAGCGAAAGCGUGGGGAGCGAACAGG